AAUAAUACUAGACUCUUUUAAACACAAAAAGAGCAAAGUAUGUUUUGUUUUGUAAAACUCUCUACCAGAGUUGUUUGUAAUCAGAAUAUUUUAAAGUUGGAUAUUGUGUGAUGUCAUUAAAGUUUUAACUAUUGUUUCUUUUUAUUUCUUCACUGCUUUACAAAAAAAACAUCCUCAACAGCCAAAGGGCCUAACUACGUAGUUGGACUGGACAUGGAACUUGAAUCUGUUGGUGAGAUGACUGAAGCUGAAAUGCAGAGCGUCAUUGAAGAGUUUCUUCAAACAUAUGGACUUUCACCAAAUUUGUUGUCUGUAAAAGUUAAAUCUGUCCAACCGUGAGACAAGAGGAGGAGCUUUUUCUUUGAAGACAACAAGAACUGGAGAGCGUAUGGAACCAAUGCAUUUUAUAAUACUAUAUAUUAGUAUAUACUAAUAUAGUACUCAUGUUGUUUGCUUCAAGAUUUAUUUCUACCCUAAUGAUUUGUAAAACCUCUUUAUAGUAUGAUUACACCGUUUUUUUUGCAACUUCACAAUGUCUUUGUUUGGUUUUAACAUUUUUAUGUAUUCAAUUUCUAUAUAAAUUCCUUUUAAAAAUAACCAUUUAGUGUAAAAUCUAAUCACAUAACACACAAAAGAACAACUUUAUCACCAUAAAGGUUUUUCUUAGCAUUUUAUUUAUGUCUUGAUUAUCCAGUGGAUCAAAAAAUAUUCCACUAUAUCUAAUGAAGGAUUUCUUAGUCUGAAUAUUAAGAUUACUUUUAUCCUCCUAAGCCUCACUACAGUCACCUAGAUCCAAUAAAGUGUUUUCGGUGGUCCUUUAAUGCUGUUUUUAGCAACAACAACAAAAACUGUCAUUUUCUAGGACAUAGUUUCUGCAGAGCUGCAGGAGUUACUAAAGAGUUUCACUCUGAGUUGUGAGUCGUGGGACUUUUCUCAGAGUGUAAGCCAGCACACAUAUUCCCAUCAUCACCUUGUUUACACUCUGUCUAGCUUCCAGACGCCACAUUUUUUCUUUAUACCCCUGAGCUAACUUUACCAGCUAUCCAGCUGUAAAGUUUUGAUGCAAAUGGCAGCUCAGACGAAGAAAACUAAGACAUACGUGGAUCUAUUUGUAUACAAUUGAAUGCAUUGGAAUGGAGCAGAGCAGGGAGCUUGUGGCCUUUUCAGUGCUAGGUUCAAUGUAACAACUGCAAG